GAACAUGAGAGUUUGAUCCUGGCUCAGGACGAACGCUGGCGGCGUGCCUAACACAUGCAAGUCGAGCGGAGGGGAUAGGAGCUUGCUCCUUGAACCUUAGCGGCGGACGGGUGAGUAACACGUGGGUAACCUGCCCUUGAGAGGGGGAUAACAGGUCGAAAGGCCUGCUAAUACCGCAUAACGCUAAGAUGCCGCAUGGCGUCUUAGCCAAAGGUUAAUUCCGCUCAAGGAUGGGCCCGCGGCCCAUUAGCUAGUUGGUGAGGUAAUGGCUCACCAAGGCGACGAUGGGUAGCCGGCCUGAGAGGGUGGUCGGCCACACUGGGACUGAGACACGGCCCAGACUCCUACGGGAGGCAGCAGUGGGGAAUAUUGCGCAAUGGGGGGAAACCCUGACGCAGCGACGCCGCGUGAGCGAUGAA
rnacentral:ncRNA from 1 species